rnacentral:lncRNA from 1 species
UUCUCUAGUCAACAAUUAGCGAUGCAUUAAUUUAUUUAGCGUAAAUGUUAUUAAAAUAAAGGUUAUGAUUUAUUUCCCCAAAAGCAUUUUGGCCGUGACCGCAUGGGUCCGAGUCACCAUGCCUGUGUCGGAGCACUCUACUUACCGUGGCGGUGGCUGCGUCCUGGGACGGGCGUGAUGCAGAACUUAACAGGAAGAGCCGCUGAAGUGCGAGGUGCUCGAGCUGGGCUGGCGUUCUCUGCAGCAAAGGGAAGAAUCCUUCGAACAGGUUAGCCACCGAUCAGCAGCAGGAGGCCAUAAUCUAAACACUAUUCUAAGGUGGCAUCCCAGUCAUGGCCCAAAGAAGAAGCCAGCCCACCCUGAUUUUCCAGAGGGAGAAGUGCACACCAGGGCCUCCGAUCACCCAG